GAAGUUUUGGGAGGUGAGGGGUGUGUGUUCACUGUUUUGAUUGUGGUGAUGACUUCACAGGUAUAUACAUAUGUCAAAACUUACCAAAUUGCGCACUUUAAACAUGUACAAAUGUAUGUCGAUAAAGCUGUUUUUAAAACAGAGGCUGCCACGAGCAUAGAGGCAAAACAGUCGAUGCCUCCCAGUUUCAAGCUGGUUUGGUCAUCAUGGGAGAGCGUUGCUGUCCUCAUCUCACCCACACAGAACCUGGAACCCAGAGGGGUUAAGUGCUAGUCCGGGCAGAGCCCAUGGCCAGAUUCUUUCUUCUCAGGAUCCAGCGCUUUCUUUGCAAAGCACUGAGUGUGCUUCCAGGAGCCUCCCAGAACCUAUCGGCAUGCCCUGAGCUGAGGGACAUGGUGUCCCUGCCACCUGAAGGGCCCUCCACAGCAUUUGGAGUCAGAGCUGGCGUGGGAUCCUGGAAAAGCUGAAUGAACGCAGGCUUUGUGUGUGGACGGACCUGGGUAUGCAUCCUGGCACCAGCUGGGUCUCAGUGACCACCCCUGUGAAAUGGGGGUAACAACGGUCCCUUCCCCAUACGACCCUGCCAUGUAAGGUUCAGUCAACCCCACUUGCCCUCCCCUUGCUUGUCCUUCUACUUUAUGUUCUCCUGAGACUCUGCAAACCAGAGAAGGGACAAGCUGAGGCAGGAGGCCUUGAGCCUUGAGAGUGGAUGGGAGAAGGAGAAUGUGGAGAAAUGGGGCAGCUGUGUUUGCUGAGCACUUCCUGUAGCCCAGUACUAGACAGAGCACUUUACACGCUCUAUCCCCUUUAAUCCCCACAACAGCCCUGUGAAGUAUUCACUGUCCUCCCAGCUUCCCCAAGAAGAACACUGAAGCCUCCCAAGAGCAAGUCACUCAUCCAAGGUCACAGAAAGUAGACAGGGGCAAAUAUAGGCCUUGAACCCAGGCAGCCUGACUUCCAAGUCCCUGUCUUGUGGCUGAAAUUCCCCACCAGUUUUCUGGGGUCUUUGCAUUUCUGAGUCCCGACCCCACUAGUUGAGAUGCUUUCCCCAGCAGUGAUCCAAGUUCAGAUUCUCUCUGCAACUCCUUGUUACGCAAGCCACCCUAUGAUCCCUCACGUGUGCGGAGCACUCUACAGUUUACAAAGAACUCUUUCAUUACUACUUAUGCCAUGGGUGGUUCCGAAUCCCUUGAAACAAGAGAGGACUGUUGUUGUUAUCCCGGUGUCUACCAUGAAGAUGGUAUGGAUCCCUUCCUAGGGAGAAAUGGACAUUGACGCACACUGGACCAUUUUAUCUGCACAACAAGUAAACAGUAUUAGGCCCAGUUUACAGAUGUUAAAACUGAGGCCUGGAAGAAUUAAACAGCUUGCCUAAGUUCAUGAA
rnacentral:lncRNA from 10 species